UACACAACAACAAUUAAUGGACAGAGCCAAUCAGAAAUCCAAAUCAAAUAGCAGUCAAGUUCAGAAUGCUGCUCAAGAUAACUUUGUUAGACUUGUGACUGCUCGUUUUGUUGAACGUUGCCCGGCCCCUGAACCACUUCUUGAAGAAGCACCUGAACAAGAAGGUCCAAAGAAGCCACGCUCUAAAUCUGCUAAGGAAUUAUGACCACAAUAUUAUUGGCACUUCUUCAUAUAAACAGAGGGCAUGCCAAUAUUAUUACUGAAAUGGCGGAGGUAUUCGGCGGUGGUGACGAGGCGUUGCGAUUGAGAAUUGGAGCUGAGCACGCCAUUAUUUACAUCGAUAGAGCCUCUGUAGGGAUUUGAAGGAGAUAGGCCUUGACCUUGGCUGCGAUUUUUCAUCUCCGCCUGUGCAGGUAACUGUAAUAUCUUUAUCGAUUUGAAAUCGAUUUGUGUAGUUGUGCUAUUGUGAAGUUUGUGUUUGUUUUUUUCUUAUAUUUUUUUUACACAAGUUUGUAUUUGUUUUAUGCAUAGACGAUUUCCAAUUAACAUUCUCAACAUUGGAAACCGCUUGCAAGAACUUCUUUAUGGUUGUUAACUAUUGGAGCUUGAAUGAUAAUAAUCCUUGUUCUUCACUGUGCUUAAUAUGUUGUACACACUACAAAACUAAAAUUUUAUGUUAUGUCUCUCUAUUGAUGUAGUUGUAUGAGCUCUUGGGCUGUCUGGG